rnacentral:rRNA from 1 species
UACGUAGGGUGCGAGCGUUGUCCGGAAUUAUUGGGCGUAAAGAGCUCGUAGGCGGUGUGUCACGUCGGCCGUGAAAACCUGCAGCUUAACUGUGGGCGUACGGUCGAUACGGGCAUCACUGGAGUUCGGCAGGGGAGACUGGAAUUCCUGGUGUAGCGGUGAAAUGCGCAGAUAUCAGGAGGAACACCGAUGGCGAAGGCAGGUCUCUGGGCCACUACUGACGCUGAGAAGCGAAAGCAUGGGGAGCGAACAGG